rnacentral:lncRNA from 1 species
CCAAAAUAAGAUCAAAAGAAGAUGAUGAGAAAAGUCAACAUAGAUGCAAACAUAGGUGCUCUGGGCUUUAGCUUUUACAGAGAUUAAUAUUCUAGAAUCAGUGUGCUAAUACGGUUGCAAGAAGUACUCAAAUCCUCAAAAUCAAUUGAAUGAGAAAAACUGCAAAAAUAGUUGUCAAUCAAAGCAAUCGAUCAAAAGAAUAGACAUAUAGAGAGAGAGAUUACAGGAAGGGUUUAGGGUUUUAAAAGAUCGUACCAGUUUUUGAUCGGAGAGAGAUAGAGAGAGAAAUUCAAAAGCUAUCGUGGAGACAGAGAGAGAGAGAGAGAGAGAGGGGGGGAAGAG